rnacentral:rRNA from 1 species
AUUAAGCGGAGGAAAAGAAACUAACUAGGAUUCCCUUAGUAGCGGCGAGCGAACAGGGAUAAGCCCAGCACUGAACCCCGUGUAUUGGUUAACAGUCACUUGGGGAAUGUAGUGUUUGGGAGGGUCCAAUUAACCUGUUGCCAUGUAAUCAAGUCCAAGUCCAUCUUGAAUGGGGCCAUUUACCCAUAGAGGGUGCCAGGCCCGUAGUGACUGUUACUGGUGGCAGGUGGAUCUCUCCUUAGAGUCGGGUUGCUUGAGAGUGCAGCUCUAAGUGGGUGGUAAACUCCAUCUAAGGCUAAAUAUGACCACGAGACCGAUAGCGAACAAGUACCGUGAGGGAAAGUUGAAAAGAACUUUGAAGAGAGAGUUCAAUAGUACGUAAAACCGUUCAGGGGUAAACCUGAGAAACCCGAAAGGUCGAGAGACAAGAUUCAUUUACUUUUUAUCGUUAAUCAACCAACUGUACUUGUAUGUGACAAAUUUAUAGCACUAUGCCAUUUAAACAUGUAAUGUACUUGUAUGUUGCAUGGGUGUAUGUGUUAAUAGAUAUUUGCACUAUUGUAUGUUGUUAAUUGUAUGAUAACGAGGUAUGCACUUCUUGUCUUGUAGGACGUCGCGACCCAUUAAAUAUUGAUCUAUAGGCUAUGGGUGCGUUGCCUAUUGCACUGGGCUGUUCUUGUGAUAGUCUAUUUGUGUGAUAGACGCCUCUAAGUUCUUGAUCAAUUGUUUGAUGGUAAUAAAUUUAUUAAUAUUGGGCCGCGUUAUUAACGCAUUAAUAUCAUCACGAGUUAUAAGUAGGGUUAGAUUUUUCAAAUUUAAUCAUAUUGAAUAUAUGGACUUGUGCCAUAUACUUAAUGCUACUUAGCUGUCAGUUGAUGAAUAUUUUAAUUGGCUCAUGGAUACUUGUAUCCAAUAUUUGUCAGCGACGCUUUAGCUUUGGGUACUUUCAGGACCCGUCUUGAAACACGGACCAAGGAGUCUAGCAUGUACGCAAGUCAUUGGGAAUAAUAUGUAUUUUUUCAUCGGAAUAUAUAUGAUAUUUUAUGAAACCCAAAGGCGUAAUGAAAGUAAAUGGUUAAUUAUUGGCUUCACGGCCUUUAGUUGUUAAAAAUCAUAAGGGAGGAUAUAUUUAUAUUAUGUAUUAAAUGUCGCACUCCCGGGGCGUCUUAUAUUUAUUCUUUUAUAUUUUUAUCAAUAUUGAAAUGAAUAAGAGUCGCACCUAGAGCGUACACGCUGGGACCCGAAAGAUGGUGAACUAUGCCUGGUCAGGACGAAGUCAGGGGAAACCCUGAUGGAGGUCCGUAGCGAUUCUGACGUGCAAAUCGAUCGUCGGAACUGGGUAUAGGGGCGAAAGACUAAUCGAACCAUCUAGUAGCUGGUUCCCUCCGAAGUUUCCCUCAGGAUAGCUGGCGCUCAUUGUAUUGAGUCUCAUCCGGUAAAGCGAAUGAUUAGAGGCCUUGGGGCCGAAACGACCUCAACCUAUUCUCAAACUUUAAAUGGGUGAGAUCUCUAGCUUGCUUAAAAUUACAUAUUUAUAUGUAUGAAGCUACGAGAUUAAAAAGUUAUUUUUAAUUGGAUCAGAGUGCCAAGUGGGCCACUUUUGGUAAGCAGAACUGGCGCUGUGGGAUGAACCAAACGUAGAGUUAAAGCGCCUAAAUCGACGCUUAUGGGAUACCAUGAAAGGCGUUGGUUGCUUAAGACAGCAGGACGGUGGCCAUGGAAGUCGGAAUCCGCUAAGGAGUGUGUAACAACUCACCUGCCGAAGCAACUAGCCCUGAAAAUGGAUGGCGCUGAAGCGUCGUGCUUAUACUCUACCGUCAGUUGGUAUUAUAGAUGGGCUACAUAAUUUAUUAUGUACUUGUCAUGAAACCCUGACGAGUAGGAGGGUCGCGGUGGUGAGCGCGGAAGGAUUGGCCGUGAGGCCAUCUGGAGCCGCCAUCGGUGCAGAUCUUGGUGGUAGUAGCAAAUACUCCAGCGAGGCCCUGGAGGACUGACGUGGAGAAGGGUUUCGUGUGAACAGCCGUUGCACACGAGUCAGUCGAUCCUAAGCCCUAGGUGAAAACCGAUGUUAAUGUUUGAUGUGUUUUUAUAAUAAUAAUAUUUUUUUAUAUAUUAUGUAAAGAAAUUUUCCUUUAAUUAAAAUUAUUUUAAUAAUAAUUUUUUUUUAAUUGCGAAAAUUAUAUUACUGGAAAAAAAAAUAUAUAUAUUUUUUUAUACAUACAUCCAUUGGGCGAAAGGGAAACCGGUUCCUAUUCCGGUACCCGGCUGCGGAACUGUUAUAACGUCGGGCCCUCGCAAGAGAGUUCGUCGGGGUAACCCAAAAAGACCUGGAGACGCCGUCGGAAGAUCCAGGAAGAGUUUUCUUUUCUGCAUGAGCGUUCGAGUUCCCUGGAAUCCUCUAGCAGGGCGAUAGGGUUUGGAACGCGAAGAGCACCGCAGUUGCGGCGGUGUCUGGAUCAUUCCCUCGGACCUUGAAAAUCCAGGUGAGGGCCACGUGGAGAUGUCGCGCCGGUUCGUACCCAUAUCCGCAGCAGGUCUCCAAGGUGAAGAGCCUCUAGUC